GUGCCAGCAGCCGCGGUAAUACGGAGGGUGCAAGCGUUGUUCGGAAUUACUGGGCGUAAAGGGCGUGUAGGCGGUGUGGUAUGUCAGAUGUGAAAGCCCUGGGCUUAACCCAGGAAGUGCAUUUGAAACUGCCAUGCUUGAGUAUGGGAGAGGAGAGUGGAAUUCCCAGUGUAGAGGUGAAAUUCGUAGAUAUUGGGAGGAACACCCGUGGCGAAGGCGACUCUCUGGACCAAUACUGACGCUGAGGCGCGAAAGCGUGGGGAGCAAACAGGAUUAGAUACCCUAGUAGUCC
rnacentral:rRNA from 1 species